UACGUAGGGUGCGAGCGUUAAUCGGAAUUACUGGGCGUAAAGCGUGCGCAGGCGGUUUAUUAAGACAGGCGUGAAAUCCCCGGGCUUAACCUGGGAACUGCAUUGGAAACUACCUUGCUCGAGGAUUUGAGGGGGGAUUGGAAUACUUGGUGUAGCAGUGAAAUGCGUAGAUAUCAAGUGGAACACCAGUGGCGAAGGCGAAUCCCUGGAAAAUACCUGACACUGAGGCACGAAAGCUAGGGGAGCAAACAGG
rnacentral:rRNA from 1 species